GUGGCCCCAGAAUUGCAGUCAGUCCCAUGCUGUGCAAGUCUGGUGGCCAAGAAAAUAGUGGGUCAGUCACAGGUUUGUGUCCAGCCCUCUCCUGGGACAUCAAAGCUACAGAAGCUCAUAUU